CCUACGGGUGGCAGCAGUGGGGAAUUUUGCACAAUGGGGGAAACCCUGAUGCAGCGACGCCGCGUGAGUGAAGAAGCCUUCCGUUAUGUAAAGCCCUAUCAGCAGGGAAGAAAAUGACGGUACCUGAGUAAGAAGCCCCGGCUAACUACGUGCCAGCAGCCGCGGUAAUACGUAGGGGGCAAGCGUUGUCCGGAUUUAUUGGGGGUAAAGGGAGCGUAGACGGCAGUGCAAGUCUGGAGUGAAAGGCGGGGGCUCAACCUGUGUACGGCACUGGAUACUGUAAGGCUGGAGUGCGGGAGAGGUAAGUGGAAUUCCUGGUGUAGCGGUGAAAUGCGUAGAUAUUAGGAGGAACACCAGUGGCGAAGGCGGCUUACUGGACUGUAACUGACGUUGAGGCACGAAAGCGUGGGGAGCAAACAGGAUUAGAUACCCGAGUAGUC
rnacentral:rRNA from 1 species